UUUUUGAGAAAGUAAUAUUGUGAAUUGAUGUAUUAUUAUAUAUUUCUAAAUAUACAUGUAGGCUAUAUAAUAUGUGGGUGAUGUUACUUUGUAAUAAAAAGAAUGAAGAGAGAAUAAAAAUAGCAAACAAAUUUUUAGUGGCUUGAGGGAGCAGUAGGACCAAAACGAGGGGAUGGAAGAUUAGCACUUGGCAGACUAGGGGCUCUCUGUGAGCAGCUUAAACAAUUGAACUCUGGAGGCUAUGAGGUCAUUUUGG